ensembl:snRNA U6 U6 spliceosomal RNA
GUGCUCGCUUCAGCAGCACAUAUACUAAAAUUGGAACAAUACAGAAAAGGUUAGCAUGGCCCCUGUGCAAGGAUGACAUGCAAAUUCAUGAAGCAUUUCCUAUUAAA